rnacentral:rRNA from 1 species
UACGAAGGGGGCGAGCGUUGUUCGGAAUUACUGGGCGUAAAGGGCGCGUAGGCGGCCCCUUUUGUCGCGUGUGAAAGCCCCGGGCUCAACCUGGGAACGGCGCGCGAAACCGCGUGGCUAGAGUCCGGAAGAGGAGAGUGGAAUUCCUGGUGUAGCGGUGAAAUGCGCAGAUAUCAGGAAGAACACCAAUGGCGAAGGCAGCUCUCUGGGACGGUACUGACGCUGAGACGCGAAAGCGUGGGGAGCAAACAGG